UGGGGAAUCUUGCGCAAUGCACGAAAGUGUGACGCAGCAACGCCGCGUGGAGGAAGAAGGCUCUCGGGUCGUAAACUCCUUUCAGUUGGGACGAAGCUUCGUCGGUUAAUAGCCGGCUGGAGUGACGGUACCUUCACAAGAAGCACCGGCUAACUACGUGCCAGCAGCCGCGGUAAUACGUAGGGUGCAAGCGUUGUCCGGAAGCAUUGGGCGUAAAGAGCGUGUAGGCGGCCCGAGCAGGCCGCUGGG
rnacentral:rRNA from 1 species